rnacentral:lncRNA from 1 species
GCGCAGGCCUGUAACCCAAGUGGGAGCCAUAAGAUGGUUGGAGGUUGGAUUGGGCCAGAAGGUUGGGCUAGCAUGGGGUUAUACACUGGCCUGCCCAUUCCAAGUAGGGAGCAGGGUCAUGGGCUUUGGGCGAAAGCCAGGAGUUCAUUUCCCCUAAAGAGGAGGGCAUUGCGCUAGGCUGGCUUCACAGAGCAGCGAACACUUCCCUCUCCUGUCGGUGGAAGGAUAACAAGUCGGUUCUUCACUAGUCCAUCAAACACCGGAUGGGUCAUUCAACCAUACAACCAUCUUUUUAAAUCUGGUUUAAAUAGCCAAGUCACGAGCUUUUUCUGAUUCACACCCAUCAAACGUGUGGGAAAAUGAUUAAAUGUUUAUACACAGGACACUACAAAACAUCCCUCCCCUUGCUCCCCUUCCCCCUUUCAAUAUACUAAGAUACGUUCCUGCCUUCCAUAAGAUAGUAUUUACAUAUAAUCACGAAACCAAAAAGGAGUAAAGUUGGUCUAUCUGAUAACUGCAAACAAAUUAAACUAUCUUCAAUUAGCCUUUUUAAUUUUACCCAAAGGAAAGCAAUAUACAGUUGACAAAGUCUGCUUCCAGGAGACUAAAAAAGAGGACAAAAAUAAGGAAAACAGAUUAGGGGACAGACACUAAGAAAUUUAAACAAAAAUGCAAAUCAUUUACUGACUAAAAGAGGCCAGCAAUAAGGGAAAGUACAAGGUUGACAGACCCACUCUCGGUACACUAGAUGAGUGAUGCAUCUUACUGGAGACUUGGAAAGAAAAGGUGGGUCCAUAUGGCUGCUGCAUAUUACAGGAGACCAAAAAAAAUACGUUCGUUCAGACUGCAGCAUAUUACAGGAGACUUAAACAAUAGGGUUAGUUUACCAUAGACUUAAAAAGAAGAGGGUGGGCUUAGAUAGCUGCAGUAUAUUUGCCGAUAAAAAGAGGAGAGUGAUGAGAGGGAGUAAAUGGUUGACAAACCCAAGCUCGGUAGACUAUAUCAGGGUUGUAUAAUACCAGAAACCUGAAAUGAAAAGUGUGGGUGCAUAUGGCUUCUGCAUAUAACAGGAGACCAAAAAAACAGGGUCAAUCCGGCAGCUGCAUAUUACAGGCGAUUCAACGGAGACUUAAAGAGUACAGGGUGAGUCCACAUGGCUGCUGAAUAUUGCAGGGGCAUGGAAAAACAAGGUCGGUCCAUGACUGCGGCAUAUGACAGGAGACAAGAAAAAAGUUAUAGGAGUCUGUCAGACAACGACCACCCCAGCCAGGGACUCCAGCUGAGAACGAUCCUCUACUACUUGAAUGGUCAACUGACCAAACUGGCUGUUAAUCACGCUCUGGUCAUGCAGUCAUGUUUCAUCAACCAGACUUGGUCACCUGCCUCCACCACAUUGUCCAGGGAAUGGAGCCUGUGUUUGUUUACAGCCCCAGGGAGAUGGUCACACUUUCAGCUGGGUCUGGUAGCACAGGCCUGUAACCCAAGUGGGAGCCAUAAGAUGGUUGGAGGUUGGAUUGGGCCAGAAGGUUGGGCUAGCAUGGGGUUAUACACUGACCUGCCCAUUCCAAGUAGGGAGCAGGGUCAUGGGCUUUGGACGAAAGCCAGGAGUUCAUUUCCCCUAAAGAGGAGGGCAUUGCGCUAGGCUGGCUUCACAGAGCAGCGAACACUUCCCUCUCCUGUCGGUGGAAGGAUAACAAGUCGGUUCUUCACUAGUCCAUCAAACACCGGAUGGGUCAUUCGACCAUACAACCAUCUUUUUUAAUCUGGUUUAAAUAGCCAAAGUCAAAAGCUUCUUCUCAUUCACACCCUCAUCACACACCUAAUGAGUCAUUCAACCAUACAACCAUCUUUCAAGAUCGUUUUCUUAU